UGCUACUACAAAGAGUUACCUUAGAAAAGCUUAAAACUAUUAAGCCCUGUAUGUCUGGAAUGAGGACUGGAAACACUUGAUAUUACUUAUGGAAGUUUAUCUGUAAGUCCAAUUAUGAUGCUGACAAAAAGGUUAAUCAGUGCUUUCUUGUAUUCAGAUUUUUGAGAAAUCAAAUUAGUCAUCAGAAUUUUUUGGGUAAGGAUGGAAUCAGAGCAAAGAGUUUGGAGAGAGAUUUUGGUCCAAGAUACUUGACAAAUCAUUUUCGUACAACAACAAAAUACUCCUUUCCAAUGACUGAGAAGUACUUUUUCCAUUUCACUGCAAAUUAUAAUUUUGAUCUUCAUCAUAUUUAACAGUGACAGUUGUUUAAAGGGCC
rnacentral:lncRNA from 1 species